GAUGAACGCUAGCGGCAGGCUUAAUACAUGCAAGUCGAGGGGCAGCACGGUUAGCAAUAACUGGUGGCGACCGGCGCACGGGUGCGUAACACGUAUACAAUCUACCUUAAACAGGGGGAUAGCCUUUCGAAAGAGAGAUUAAUACCCCGUAAUAAAUUGAACGGCAUCGUUUGAUUUUGAAAGCUCCGGCGGUUUGAGAUGAGUAUGCGUCUGAUUAGCUAGUUGGUGAGGUAACGGCUCACCAAGGCGACGAUCAGUAGGGGAUCUGAGAGGACUAACCCCCCACACUGGUACUGAGACACGGACCAGACUCCUACGGGAGGCAGCAGUAAAGGGAAUAAUUGGUUCAAAUGGAGGGCAACUCUGAACCAGCCAUGCCGCCGUGCAGGAUGACGGCCCUAUGGGUUGUAAACUAGCUUUUAUACAAGAGAAAACCCUGGUACGUGUACCAGGUUGUAUAGUAUU
rnacentral:rRNA from 1 species